ACCUGGCUCAGAACGAACGCUGGCGGCAUGCCUAACACAUGCAAGUCGAACGCCCUCUUUUAGAGGGAGUGGCGCACGGGUGCGUAACGCGUGGGAACCUGCCCUUAGGUUCGGAAUAACUCAGAGAAAUUUGAGCUAAUACCGGAUAAUGUCUUCGGACCAAAGAUUUAUCGCCUUUGGAUGGGCCCGCGUAGGAUUAGAUAGUUGGUGGGGUAAUGGCCUACCAAGUCGACGAUCCUUAGCUGGUCUGAGAGGAUGAUCAGCCACACUGGGACUGAGACACGGCCCAGACUCCUACGGGAGGCAGCAGUGGGGAAUAUUGGACAAUGGGCGAAAGCCUGAUCCAGCAAUGCCGCGUGAGUGAUGAAGGCCUUAGGGUUGUAAAGCUCUUUUACCAGGGAUGAUAAUGACAGUACCUGGAGAAUAAGCUCCGGCUAACUCCGUGCCAGCAGCCGCGGUAAUACGGAGGGAGCUAGCGUUGUUCGGAAUUACUGGGCGUAAAGCGCACGUAGGCGGCUUUUCAAGUCAGGGGUGAAAUCCCGGGGCUCAACCCCGGAACUGCCCUUGAAACUGGAUGGCUAGAAUACUGGAGAGGUGAGUGGAAUUCCGAGUGUAGAGGUGAAAUUCGUAGAUAUUCGGAAGAACACCAGUGGCGAAGGCGACUCACUGGACAGUUAUGACGCUGA
rnacentral:rRNA from 1 species